GCGAACGCUGGCGGCAGGCUUAACACAUGCAAGUCGAGCGGCCGUAGCAAUACGGCAGCGGCAGACGGGAGAGUAACACGUGGGAACGUACCCUUCAGUUCGGAACAACCAAGGGAAACUUUGGCUAAUACCGAAUACGUCCGUAAGGAGAAAGAUUUAUCGCUGAAGGAUCGGCCCGCGUCUGAUUAGCUAGUUGGUGAGGUAACGGCUCACCAAGGCGACGAUCAGUAGCUGGUCUGAGAGGAUGAUCAGCCUCACUGGGACUGAGACACGGCCCAGACUCCUACGGGAGGCAGCAGUGGGGAAUAUUGGACAAUGGGCGCAAGCCUGAUCCAGCCAUGCCGCGUGGAUGAUGAAGGCCUUAGGGUUGUAAAGUCCUUUUAACGGGGAAGAUAAUGACGGUACCCGUAGAAUAAGCCCCGGCUAACUUCGU
rnacentral:rRNA from 1 species